rnacentral:rRNA from 1 species
AUUGAACGCUGGCGGCAGGCCUAACACAUGCAAGUCGAGCGGAGCGGCGAACGGGGGAGUAAUGCCUAGGAAUCUGUCUGUGAGUGAGGGAUAACGUCCGGAAACGGGCGAUAAGAACACAUGCUAGCAGGGGAGCCUAGGUCGGCUUAGCUGGUUGGUGGGGUAAAGGCUUACCAAGGCGACGAUCCUUAACUGGUCUGAGAGGAUGAUCAGUCACACUGGAACUGAGACACGGUCCAGACUCCUACGGGAGGCAGCAGUGGGGAAUAUUGGACAAUGGGCGAAAGCCUGAUCCAGCCAUGCCGCGUGUGUGAAGAAGGUCUUCGGAUUGUAAAGCUCUUUAAGUUGGGAGGCGUUACCUACAGAGUAAGCACCGGCUAACUUCGUGCCAGCAGCCGCGGUAAUAC